AUUGAACGCUGGCGGAAUGCUUUACACAUGCAAGUCGAACGGCAGCACGGACUUCGGUCUGGUGGCGAGUGGCGAACGGGUGAGUAAUGUAUCGGAACGUGCCCAGUCGUGGGGAAUAACGUAGUGAAAAUUACGCUAAUACCGCAUACGAUCUAUGGAUGAAAGCGGGGGACCGCUAGACCUCGCGCGAUUGGAGCGGCCGAUAUCAGAUUAGGUAGUUGGUGGGGUAAAGGCCCACCAAGCCAACGAUCUGUAGCUGGUCUGAGAGGACGACCAGCCACACUGGAACUGAGACACGGUCCAGACUCCUACGGGAGGCAGCAGUGGGGAAUUUUGGACAAUGGGCGAAAGCCUGAUCCAGCCAUUCCGCGUGCAGGAUGAAGGCCCUCGGGUUGUAAACUGCUUUUGUACAGAACGAAAAGGUUUCUACUGAUACUAGGAGCUCAUGACGGUACUGUAAGAAUAAGCACCGGCUAACUACGUGCCAGCCGCCGCCGUAA
rnacentral:rRNA from 1 species